rnacentral:rRNA from 1 species
UUAGAUACCCUAUUAUAUUAGUAAUAUCCUAAAUUAUUAAUAGAUAUAGUCUUUAAAUUUGAAGAAUUUGGCGGUGAUUUAGUCUUGUUAGAGGAACCUGUUUUUGGAUCGAUACACCACGUAAAAUUUUACUUAUUUUAUUAGUUUGUAUACCGUCAUUCCCAGAUAAUUUUUAAAGAGUUAAUUAUUAAAAUUUCUUUAAAUGAAAACUAAAUUAGAUCAAGGUGCAGCUUAUAAAUAAGUUAAAAUGGGUUACAAUAAGAUUUAUUUACAUGGAAUAAUGAUAGGAAGAUUACAUUAUGAAGGCGGAUUUAAUUGUAAUAAAAAUUUAAUAAGUUUUAAAAAUAUAAGCUCUAAAUCAUGUACAUAUCGCCCGUCGCU